AAAUAUUAUUUUUAAUUUACAUGUAAAAUUUUAUAAAAAUUUUUUAUUUUUUUAAUAAAAAUAAAACUUAAUUAAAUCGCAGUAAAUAAUUUUAAAUAUAAAAGAAAUUUUGAUUUAGAGAUAAUAUUAAGUAUUGACCAUAUUUGUGCCAGCAGUUGCGGUUAGACAAAUAAUACAAUUUAAUUUUUUUAGAAAUAAUUAUUUUAAAUAUUUAAAAUUUUAAUUUUAAUAAAAUUAGGUGAAAUUUUUUUAUUAAUAAUAAAUUAUAUUAAAUUUAAGAAGUUAAGAAAUUUUAUAUAUAAACUAGGAUUAGAUACCCUAUUAUAAAUUAUAUAAAUUAUAAUUCUAAAUUAGUAUUAGUUAUGUUCUUGAAAAUUAAAGAUUUUGGCGGUAUUUUAGUCUAUUCAGAGGAAUCUGUUCUGUAAUUGAUAUUCCACGAUUAAAUUUACUUAUAUUAAUUAGUUUGUAUAUCGUUGUAGAAGAAUAUUUUAAAAGAAUAUUAAUAUACAAAAUUUUUAAUUUAAAAAUAAAUCAGAUCAAGGUGCAGUUUAUAUAUAAGAAGAAAUGGAUUACAAUAAAUUAUAUUUAUGGAUAUAAAUUUUAAAAAUUUAUUGAAAUUGGAUUUGAUAGUAAUUUUUUUAUAUUAAAAAAAUGAUUUUAGCUCUAAAAUAUGCACAUAUCGCCCGUCGCUUUCACAUAAAGUGAAAUAAGUCGUAACAAAGUAGGCUUACUGGAAAGUGGGCCUAGAAAGAC
rnacentral:ncRNA from 1 species